rnacentral:rRNA from 1 species
AACGCGAAGAACCUUACCAGCCCUUGACAUGUCCCGUAUGGGGUCGAGAGAUUGGCUUCUUCAGUUCGGCUGGCGCGAACACAGGUGCUGCAUGGCUGUCGUCAGCUCGUGUCGUGAGAUGUUGGGUUAAGUCCCGCAACGAGCGCAACCCUCAUCUUCAGUUGGGAUCGGGUUAUGCCGGGCACUCUGAAGGAAGUGCCGGUGACAAG